GGCUUGUUGAAUAUAAUUUUAGGUCGGGCCUGCCCACUGAGGUUUUGAAUGGCCGCGGUAAUUUGACCGUGCAAAGGUAGCAUAAUCAUUAGUUUUUUAAUUAAAAGCUUGUAUGAAAGGUUUGAUAAAAAAAUAACUGUCUCUAUAAGAUUUAUUUAAAAUUUUAUUUUUAAGUUAAAAAGCUUAAAUUUAUAUAGAAGACGAGAAGACCCUAUAGAGUUUGAUAUUUGUAUAGUUAAAUAAGAAAGGUUAGUUAGUUAUAUAAAUAUUUUGUUGGGGUGACAAGAAAAUUAAUAAAACUUUUCGUUGCUAGAGACAUUUAUGUAUGAAUUUAUGAUCCUAUAAUUAGAUAAAAAGAUAAAACUACCUUAGGGAUAACAGCGUAAUUUUUUUUAGAGUUCUUAUCAAAAAGAAAGAUUGCGACCUCGAUGUUGGAUUAAAAUUAACUAUUGGUGUAGAAGCUGAAAAGUUAGGUCUGUUCGACCUUUAAAAUUUUACAUGAUCUGAGUUUAAACCGGUGUAAG
rnacentral:rRNA from 1 species